UACAGAGGUCUCAAGCGUUGUUCGGAUUCAUUGGGCGUAAAGGGUGUGUAGGUGGCGCGCUAAGUCGGGUGUGAAAUUUCGGAGCUUAACUCCGAAACUGCAUUCGAUACUGGCGUGCUUGAGGGUUGCAGAGGAGACUGGAAUUCCCGGUGUAGCGGUGAAAUGUGUAGAGAUCGGGAGGAACACCGGUGGCGAAGGCGGGUCUCUGGGCAAUUCCUGACGCUGAGGCGCGAAAGCGUGGGGAGCAAACGGG
rnacentral:rRNA from 1 species